UACGUAGGGGGCAAGCGUUGUCCGGAUUAUUGGGCGUAAAAGGCUUGUAGGUGGCCACGCCAAGUCGGAUGUGAAAUCUCCCGGCUCAACUGGGAGGGGUCAUUCGAUACUGGUGGGCUCGAGGCCGGUAGGGGGAAGCGGAAUUCCCGGUGUAGUGGUGGAAUGCGUAGAUAUCGGGAGGAACACCAGUGGCGAAGGCGGCUUCCUGGACCGGUUCUGACACUGAGGAGCGAAAGCGUGGGGAGCGAUCCGG
rnacentral:rRNA from 1 species